rnacentral:lncRNA from 10 species
UGAAUAUUCCGGGGCGCGGGAGCCCGAGCGCUGCCGGAGGGCGCUUCGGGGGAGGCGGCCGCUGAUGUAAGCCCGGCGGGUCGCUGGGCUCCGCUCGGUUGCGGCGGGAGCCCCGGGACGGGCCGGACGGGCCGGGGCAGAGGAGGCGAGGCGAGCUCGCGGGUGGCCAGCCACAAAGCCCGGGCGGCGAGACAGACGGACAGCCAGCCCUCCCGCGGGACGCACGCCCGGGACCCGCGCGGGCCGUGCGCUCUGCACUCCGGAGCGGUUCCCUGAGCGCCGCGGCCGCAGAGCCUCUCCGGCCGGCGCCCAUUGUUCCCCGCGGGGGCGGGGCGCCUGGAGCCGGGCGGCGCGCCGCGCCCCUGAACGCCAGAGGGAGGGAGGGAGGCAAGAAGGGAGCGCGGGGUCCCCGCGCCCAGCCGGGCCCGGGAGGAGGUGUAGCGCGGCGAGCCCGGGGACUCGGAGCGGGACUAGGAUCCUCCCCGCGGCGCGCAGCCUGCCCAAGCAUGGGCGCCUGAGGCUGCCCCCACGCCGGCGGCAAAGGACGCGUCCCCACGGGCGGACUGACCGGCGGGCGGACCUGGAGCCCGUCCGCGGCGCCGCGCUCCUGCCCCCGGCCCGGUCCGACCCCGGCCCCUGGCGC